UACGAAGGGGGCUAGCGUUGCUCGGAAUCACUGGGCGUAAAGCGCACGUAGGCGGAUUCUUAAGUCAGGGGUGAAAUCCUGGAGCUCAACUCCAGAACUGCCUUUGAUACUGAGGAUCUUGAGUCCGGGAGAGGUGAGUGGAACUGCGAGUGUAGAGGUGAAAUUCGUAGAUAUUCGCAAGAACACCAGUGGCGAAGGCGGCUCACUGGCCCGGUACUGACGCUGAGGCACGAAAGCGUGGGGAGCAAACAGG
rnacentral:rRNA from 1 species